rnacentral:rRNA from 1 species
AUACGUAGGGGGCGAGCGUUGUCCGGAAUGAUUGGGCGUAAAGGGCGCGUAGGCGGCCCGGUAAGUCUGGAGUGAAAGUCCUGUUUUUAAGAUGGGAAUUGCUUUGGAUACUGUCGGGCUUGAGUGCAGGAGAGGUAAGUGGAAUUCCCAGUGUAGCGGUGAAAUGCGUAGAGAUUGGGAGGAGCACCAGUGGCGAAGGCGACUUACUGGACUGUAACUGACGCUGAGGCGCGAAAGUGUGGGGAGCAAACAGGAUUAGAUACCCUGGUAGUCCACACUGUAAACGAUGAAUGCUAGGUGUAGGGGGUGUCGACCCCUUCUGUGCCGCAGUCAACACAAUAAGCAUUCCGCCUGGGGAGUACGGCCGCAAGGUUGAAACUCAAAGGAAUUGACGGGG